GUGCUUAUUUUGGUAUCACAUCUACUAAACUUGGAAUAAUAACAAAGAUUAGCAUGACCCCUUCACAAACAUGGCAUGUAAAUCCAUGAAGCAUUCUGUAUUUCC